CUCCUACAAUGGACCAAUUGUCACCAACAUCCACUAUAAGAUCUCAUCAAAAUCAUAUUUAUAUGUCAGUCAAACUCCAGUAGUCUCACUAUGAGUAAUCAUACCAUCGUAGAUCAAAAAAUUAUUUACAUAACUAUAGCAUCGAGAUGAUCACUGAUGAUUGAGUAGAAAUUCAAAUGAUCUCUCGUAUGGUCAUGCUCAGUACUAGUUGUUCUCUAACAACUAUCCACAC
rnacentral:lncRNA from 1 species